AUUGAACGCUGGCGGCAGGCCUAACACAUGCAAGUCGAACGGUAGCACAGAGGAGCUUGCUCCUUGGGUGACGAGUGGCGGACGGGUGAGUAAUGUCUGGGAAACUGCCCGAUGGAGGGGGAUAACUACUGGAAACGGUAGCUAAUACCGCAUAACGUCGCAAGACCAAAGAGGGGGACCUUCGGGCCUCUUGCCAUCGGAUGUGCCCAGAUGGGACUAGCUAGUAGGUGGGGUAACGGCUCACCUAGGCGACGAUCCCUAGCUGGUCUGAGAGGAUGACCAGCCACACUGGAACUGAGACACGGUCCAGACUCCUACGGGAGGCAGCAGUGGGGAAUAUUGCACAAUGGGCGCAAGCCUGAUGCAGCCAUGCCGCGUGUAUGAAGAAGGCCUUCGGGUUGUAAAGUACUUUCAGCGAGGAGGAAGGCGUUGUGGUUAAUAACCGCAACGAUUGACGUUACUCGCAGAAGAAGCACCGGCUAACCUCCGUGCCAGCCGCCGCGG
rnacentral:rRNA from 1 species